GAUGAACGCUGGCGGCGUGCCUAAUACAUGCAAGUCGAGCGAACAGACGAGGAGCUUGCUCCUCUGACGUUAGCGGCGGACGGGUGAGUAACACGUGGAUAACCUACCUAUAAGACUGGUAUCACUUCGGGAAACCGGAGCUUAUACCGGAUAAUAUAUUGAACCGCAUGGUUCAAUAGUGAAUGACGGCUUUGCUGUCACUUAUAGAUGGAUCCGCGCCGCAUUAGCUAGUUGGUAAGGUAACGGCUUACCAAGGCGACGAUGCGUAGCCGACCUGAGAGGGUGAUCGGCCACACUGGAACUGAGACACGGUCCAGACUCCUACGGGAGGCAGCAGUAGGGAAUCUUCCGCAAUGGGCGAAAGCCUGACGGAGCAACGCCGCGUGAGUGAUGAAGGUCUUCGGAUCGUAAAACUCUGUUAUUAGGGAAGAACAAAUGUGUAAGUAACUAUGCACGUCUUGACGGUACCUAAUCAGAAAGCCACGGCUAACUACGUG
rnacentral:rRNA from 1 species